rnacentral:lncRNA from 1 species
AAUUGGUUUUGAGAAACUAUGGAUGAAUGAUGUUGUUGGGGUUUACAAUUUCAUCUUAUCCACUCUCAUAUAUCUACUCUUCUUAUUUACUUCACUUAUUUAUCUAAUUGCCAUGCACACUUUCUUAUUUACCCUUAACCCAAUCCCUUGGUGAAAAGAACCUAUUAUUAAUUACCGGCUUGUUAUCCCUAGCCUCCCCUAGUAAACAAUAAUGCAAUGCGAUCGGAAGCAAAUACAAUUGACCGUCCUACCCCUAUCCCUAGGCGAUAUUGGCAUAAUCAAGGAAUUUCCCACUAGUUCAUGACAUUACCGUACGUCCCCAUAUCGAUAAAGACAAACAUCUUUUACUGAAUGAGUUAAACAAUAAAAGCAUUGAGCACAGAUGAGAACCCAACAAUUGAUAAACAAGUAUAUGACAAGCAUAUGAAAUAAAUAAGA